rnacentral:rRNA from 1 species
GAAUUUGGGACAAUGGGCGAAAGCCUGAUCCAGCAAUGCCGCGUGCAGGAUGAAGNCCNNCGGGUNGNAAACUGCUUUUGUACNNNNNGAAAAGCUUUGGGUUAAUACCCUGGAGUCAUGACGGUACCGUAAGAAUAAGCACCGGCUAACUACGUGCCAGCAGCCGCGGUAAUACGUAGGGUGCAAGCGUUAAUCGGAAUUACUGGGCGUAAAGCGUGCGCAGGCGGUUUUGUAAGACAGAGGUGAAAUCCCCGGGCUCAACCUGGGAACUGCCUUUGUGACUGCAAGGCUAGAGUACGGCAGAGGGGGGUGGAAUUCCGCGUGUAGCAGUGAAAUGCGUAGAUAUGCGGAGGAACACCGAUGGCGAAGGCAACCCCCUGGGCCUGUACUGACGCUCAUGCACGAAGGCGUGGGGAGCAAACAG